GAUGAACGCUGGCGGCGUGCCUAAUACAUGCAAGUCGAGCGAACAGACGAGGAGCUUGCUCCUCUGACGUUAGCGGCGGACGGGUGAGUAACACGUGGAUAACCUACCUAUAAGACUGGGAUAACUUCGGGAAACCGGAGCUAAUACCGGAUAAUAUAUUGAACCGCAUGGUUCAAUAUUGAAAGACGGUUUUGCUUUCACUCAUAGAUGGAUCCGCGCCGCAUUAGCUAGUUGGUAAGGUAACGGCUUACCAAGGCGACGAUGCGUAGCCGACCUGAGAGGGUGAUCGGCCACACUGGAACUGAGACACGGUCCAGACUCCUACGGGAGGCAGCAGUAGGGAAUCUUCCGCAAUGGGCGAAAGCCUGACGGAGCAACGCCGCGUGAGUGAUGAAGGUCUUCGGAUCGUAAAACUCUGUUAUUAGGGAAGAACAAAUGUGUAAGUAACUAUGCACGUCUUGACGGUACCUAAUCAGAAAGCCACGGCUAACUACGUG
rnacentral:rRNA from 1 species